rnacentral:misc_RNA from 1 species
AACAAGGCGUACCUGCGGACCUGCGGAAGGAUCAUUACCAGAGUGCCUUCAGGCUCUCCAACCCACUGUGAACAUACCUACGUUCCCCCGGCGGGCUCAGCGCGCGGCGGCUCCGGCCGCCCGCGUCCGCCGAGGGCAUCUCAAACCCGAAUUUAUUCGUGUCUUCUGAGGGGCGAAAGCCCGUAAAACAAAAUGAAUCAAAACUUUUAACAAUGGAUCU